GUGGUUUUCAUUAAUCAAUAAUCGUUGGUACUAAUUUUCAGUAAUACAAAAUAUUCAAUAUUCCAUUAAAUAAUAAAAAUGUUAUAAUCAAUAAGUAAGAAAAUAUAAAAUAAAAUGGAUAUAAAUAAUUUAAAACAUACACAUAAAUAAAAAUUAAUUCAAUCGCCGCGGAGUCAGAUUUGCCUAAAGUCAGAUUCGCAUAGCACACCGGCACGUCACUAAAUGUGAUUUGUU